GUGAUCAGCACUGAGCAAAGAUCACUUACCAUGGACUUGUGGCUUAUUUGGCUUUUCCUUGCUGUUAUUUUAAGUGGUGUCCAGUGUGAGGUGCAGCUGGUGGAGUCUGGAGGAAGAUUAGUGCAGCGUGGAAAGUCUCUGAAACUCUCCUGUGCAGCCUCUGGAUUCACCUUCAGUGAUUAUUAUAUGUACUGGGUCCGCCAGGCUCCAGGGAAAGGUCUGGAAUGGUUCGCAUACAUUAGUGGUAUUAGUAGCUACAUUGACUAUGCUGAUGCCGUGAAAGGCCGAUUCACCAUCUCCAGAGACAAUGCCAAGAACACCCUGUACCUGGAAAUGAGCAGUCUGAGGCCCGAGGACACAGCCAUGUAUUACUGCACCAGAUGCACAGUGAUGCAAAGUUAUUGUGAGAUCAGACACAAACCUCACUGCAGGAUGCUUAUGACCAGCAGGGGGCGAAGAGAACAACCAGAGAUCUGA